GGUAGAAUGGCCGAGGGUUAGGCGGCGGCUUGUAGCUCCGCAAACAGGGGUUAAAGUCCUCUUCCUACCA
rnacentral:tRNA from 1 species